UUUUUCUAUAAAAACAGGUUCCGACAGAAUGCUUGUCAUUCUCAAGUGAAGUUCACCUUCAAGUUGAAAGAAAAUCAAAAAUGAACGCCAGAGUUGUAUUCGUCUUGUUGGUUGCAGCAAUGCUGGUUGUGGGCAGCGACUGCAGUUACAAGAGACGUCGUCGUUAUGGAUAUUAUCAGGGGGGAUACAGAGAUACGGCAGCUGGUGAAAACAUGCACCAGAUGCUGGAUGAUUUGAUUUCUAGCUUUUCUCAAAUGCAAGAAGACAAUUCUGCUAUAGAGCAGGAGGACGUCUCAAAAUGAUUUCGUACCAGACCACACCCUGACAAUGUUGACGGACACGGCUUCCUACUAAAGACCACGACGAUGCUUUUUAUUAUUAUUAUUUACUAAACGUAUAAUCUUCAGAAAAAUGUAACUCUAAAUUUAUGUAGGCCUACAAAAUCAAUGAAAUAAAUUCGGUGAUAGUUA